GGAGGGAUGGCCGAGUGGUCGAAGGCGGCGGUCUUGAAAACCGCAGCUCUGAAAGGGGCCGUGGGUUCGAAUCCUACUCCCUCCG
rnacentral:tRNA from 1 species